UAAUAAGUGUUUUAUGGCACUUUUUAAAUCCAUAUCCACCUUGUGUGCAAUGUCAGUCGAUCUUCUUCAUGGAGAUCGACCAAACAUCAACCUUUAUUCUAUUAACUUUUGUCUGAAAACUAUUAUGAAUAAACUAAUUCAAAAUA
rnacentral:misc_RNA from 1 species